rnacentral:rRNA from 1 species
GGUCUCCUGGAAACGGGUGGUAAUGCCGGAUGCUCCAGCUGAUUGCAUGGUGUUCUGGGAAAGCCUUUGCGGCAUGGGAUGGGGUCGCGUCCUAUCAGCUUGAUGGCGGGGUAACGGCCCACCAUGGCUUCGACGGGUAGCCGGCCUGAGAGGGCGACCGGCCACAUUGGGACUGAGAUACGGCCCAGACUCCUACGGGAGGCAGCAGUGGGGAAUAUUGCACAAUGGGCGCAAGCCUGAUGCAGCGACGCCGCGUGAGGGAUGGAGGCCUUCGGGUUGUAAACCUCUUUUGUUAGGGAGCAAGGCAUUUUGUGUUGAGUGUACCUUUCGAAUAAGCACCGGCUAACUACGUGCCAGCAGCCGCGGUAAUACGUAGGGUGCAAGCGUUAUCCGGAAUUAUUGGGCGUAAAGGGCUCGUAGGCGGUUCGUCGCGUCCGGUGUGAAAGUCCAUCGCUUAACGGUGGAUCCGCGCCGGGUACGGGCGGGCUUGAGUGCGGUAGGGGAGACUGGAAUUCCCGGUGUAACGGUGGAAUGUGUAGAUAUC